rnacentral:rRNA from 1 species
ACGUGAAACCGACAUAAUGGAAGCGGAUGGAGCCGACGUAUCGAGCAUGUAUUCAAUUGCGCAGCGUGGCAAGCGUCUGAUUAGGCAUUCCGUAAGGUUGCCGGUUGGUCGUAUUGUUACGUUUGUGUAAUGCAUUUGCAUGCAGAGUGCGCCGAGUGGGUUGGUCCCGCUGUUGGAAGCUUGUAUAGAGGAUCAGUCUUCGGACUGGAACCCUGUGCUGGUGGAUGACAGAUGGGGUUGGCUUGCUUUUGGUUGUGCAGGUGAAUUCGCGGUUUGAGUUUGCGUUUCGGUUAGCUUGUGGGUGACGCAUGCGCUGCCUACUUGUCUAGUUUGAACGUUGGCUCUAACUGCCCUUGCAUUCAACUCGGCGUUCAGUUGGUCACCCAUUUGACCCGUCUUGAAACACGGACCAAGGAGUUUAAGGUGUACGCGAGUCAUUGGUACUGUAAAGACCAAAGGCGUAAUGAAAGUGAGACAUUUAGUGUCUGUGAUGUGAGCGGUUGACGUUUCGACGGCGGUCGCGCAACAUCGCCCUAUGCCUGGGACUUGUUCUGGCGUGGAGGUUGAGCGUACGCUUUGAGACCCGAAAGAUGGUGAACUAUGCCUGAACAGGAUGAAGCCAGAGGAAACUCUGGUGGAAGUCCGAAGCGGUUCUGACGUGCAAAUCGA